CCGCACGGGUGAGUAACACGUAGCCAACCUGCCGUCUACUCUUGGACAGCCUUCUGAAGGAAGAUUAAUACAAAAUGGCAUCAUGAGUCCGCAUGUUCACAUGAUUAAAGGUAUUCCGGUAGACGAUGGGGAUGCGUUCCAUUAGAUAGUAGGCGGGGUAACGGCCCACCUAGUCUUCGAUGGAUAGGGGUUCUGAGAGGAAGGUCCCCCACAUUGGAACUGAGACACGGUCCAA
rnacentral:rRNA from 1 species